GAGUCUCCUGAAAGAAAUUAAGAACGUAAAGAACAGAGUCCCUAGAUGUGUGCUUAGAGGACCAGAUAAAAGAUGAUCUCUAUUUGAGGGGAAAUUCCCCUGAAAUACCUGUGGGAUUUGAUCUUUCUGUAGCUAGUUAGAACUGUGACACCUUGAACGUGUACAUGUAUACCAUUUCAUUGAUAUGUCAGUCAUCCCAGGGAAAAAUAACACAUUGCCAUUCUCCAUCCCUCUCCCGCAAGGAUUUUGCUCUUCUCUCUGACAAGACUCAUUAGCUUGUGUGUGCUCAGCGCUCUGAAGACAAAAGACGUUUCUUAAAGAAUAAGAAUAAACAAGGUCUCUGAAAGCAACUUAUUCAGGAGAAGCGUGAAUGGAAAAUAUGGGUUUGUUCAGUCCAGAUCAACUAUGUGAGAACACAGACAGUUGGACUCCAUUUCUUAUCUGAGUUUAAGCACCCCACCAAUGUACUUUGCUCUGGGUUCCCACAUGCUCUAUGGAGAGCAACCAUCCCUUUUAAGGAACAGCUCACUGCUGAGCUCUGAACUGCCUGCUGCCAACCACUGGAGGAAGAGGUGAUGAGGCAAACCAUGUGACUAUGCUCCUAACGCAGGUCACGCUGUAGAAUCAAUCCAGACUCUUCCUGCAUCUGAAUUCUCCUUGACUCCUCCAGUUUGAUGGUUUGUUGAGUUAAACCACGCCUUGUUCUGACCCUACUGACUUAGCAAGUUAGAACAGCUUCACUAUAUUAUGUAAGAGGUGAUCCUGGCAGAUCCUGUUUGAGGUGUACAAGAGUACAUCCCUAUCGGUGACUGUGUGACUGACAUACGUUUAUGGUCAGAUCAAACCACGCCCACAAACACUUCCUCUUGAGGCAGACUGCAUGGAAAGCACUUGCUUUCUUCUCCAGAGUGGAGAGGUGAUCUUUGUACUGGAGAAGGAAGACAGAAGGAGGGAGACAUCACAUCUUUAUGAGGUACAUUUGGACAGCCCUAAGGCCAGCUGCUUUAAGAGCUGGGAGAGAGAAAUCUUCACCCAUAAUGUGACUUGCACCUGUCAGUCCGAAAGCCACGAGGCCCAUCUCCCUUCCCCAGUAUGUCCUCUACAAAUGAGCCAAGAGCUGUUUUGCUGUGCUCUCACCAUCAAACCGCUUA